GUUUGAUCUCAGACUGCUGUGCUAGCAAUCAGCGAGACUCCGUGGGCGUAGGACCCUCCGAGCCAGAUGAAGAUCCUGAAUACCAAAGAGGGCCGCUGACAGGUCUAGGAGUACACUUCUAGCACCUAGCAGAGAGAGGCUUCACUACAUCAUGCUUCCUGACAUCUCUCCCUUUGAAGAGCAGUCAGACUCCUGCUUUGCUCUUCAGACUUAAUUUGGGGGUUUAACAGGUGAGGUUGCUGGGGGAACUCUUUUACAACAUCUCUCUGAAAGAAUCCGGGCUGCCAGUUUCAUUUGGUUUGGGUGUCAGUAGCAUGAUGGAAAGACAAAAAAACACAACUUGACAUCUGCAGAAAUGGGUUCAAAUUUUACCUGCAACUCACCAAUUCUGUGGCCUUGGUUCAGCAAUUAAACUCCCUAAAAUUCAGUUUUUUCUUUGUAAAAUGGGGUUAUGAACAGUACCUACUUCAAAAUGUGUUUGUGAAGAUUAAAAAAGUUAACAUAAAGAGUUUAGAAGAGUGUCUG
rnacentral:lncRNA from 10 species